AUUGAACGCUGGCGGCAGGCCUAACACAUGCAAGUCGAGCGGCAGCGGGACCUUCGGGUCGCCGGCGAGCGGCGGACGGGUGAGUAAUGCCUAGGAAUCUGCCUGUUAGUGGGGGAUAACGCGGGGAAACUCGCGCUAAUACCGCAUACGUCCUACGGGAGAAAGUGGGGGACCCUCGGGCCUCACGCUAACAAAUGAGCCUAGGUCGGAUUAGCUAGUUGGUGGGGUAAAGGCCCACCAAGGCGACGAUCCGUAACUGGUCUGAGAGGAUGAUCAGUCACACUGGAACUGAGACACGGUCCAGACUCCUACGGGAGGCAGCAGUGGGGAAUAUUGGACAAUGGGCGAAAGCCUGAUCCAGCCAUGCCGCGUGUGUGAAGAAGGUCUUCGGAUUGUAAAGCACUUUAAGUUGGGAGGAAGGGCGCUCGGUGAAUACCCAGGCGUCUUGACGUUACCGACAGAAUAAGCACCGGCUAACUUCGUGCCAGCCGCCGCAGUAAAAC
rnacentral:rRNA from 1 species